GACUGUAAUGGUCCAGCGGCGAAGUCUCUUGAUUUUCUCGUGCAGGUAUGCUUCUCAGCCACACCCGACCUCGUCAGAUCCCCCUCGCCUGGCGCCCAAUUCGAACGCCGCGGAGGUACGUGUGCUCGCACGGGUAACCUGCGACUGCCACACCGCCCUAAGCAAUGGAGAUGACACUUGAGAGAGGCUUCACUCUGCAGAGAACUCUCCCCCGUCGCGUGGCGAAUUGGAUUACGACCGCGAGGGGCUCGGGUUGGCUGAGCGAGAUGGAGAAGUACGACGCCACAAUU
rnacentral:SRP_RNA from 1 species